rnacentral:rRNA from 1 species
GAUGAACGCUGGCGGCGUGCCUAACACAUGCAAGUCGAGCGAUUCUCUUCGGAGAAGAGCGGCGGACGGGUGAGUAACGCGUGGGUAACCUGCCCUGUACACACGGAUAACAUACCGAAAGGUAUGCUAAUACGAGAUAAUAUACUUUUAUCGCAUGGUAGACGCAUCAAAGCUUUUGCGGUACAGGAUGGACCCGCGUCUGAUUAGCUAGUUGGUAAGGUAACGGCUUACCAAGGCGACGAACAGUAGCCGACCUGAGAGGGUGAUCGGCCACAUUGGAACUGAUACACGGUCCAAACUCCUACGGGAGGCAGCAGUGGGGAAUAUUGCACAAUGGGCGAAAGCCUGAUGCAGCAACGCCGCGUGAGCGAUGAAGGCCUUCGGGUCGUAAAGCUCUGUCCUCAAGGAAGAUAAUGACGGUACUUGAGGAGGAAGCCCCGGCUAACUACGUGCCAGCCGCCGCCGUAA